rnacentral:rRNA from 1 species
AGCAGCCGCGGUAAUUCCAGCUCCAAUAGCGUAUAUUAAAGUUGUUGCAGUUAAAAGCUCGUAGUUGAAUUUCGGGACUGAUAUGUCGGUCGUGCCUCGGUACGUACUGGUAUUUUUGGUCUCUCCCUUCUGACGAACCUUGAUGUCAUUAAUUUGGUGUCUUGGGAAAUCAGGACUGUUACUUUGAAAAAUUAGAGUGUUUAAAGCAGGCUCGCGCUUGAAUACAUUAGCAUGGAAUAAUGAAAUAGGAUGUUUGAUUCUAUUUUGUUGGUUUCUAGGAUUGACGUAAUGAUUAAUAGGGAUAGUUGGGGGCAUUAGUAUUCAAUUGUCAGAGGUGAAAUUCUUGGAUUUAUUGAAGACUAACUACCGCGAAAGCAUUUGCCAAGGAUGUUUUCAUUAAUCAAGAACGAAAGUUAGGGGAUCGAAGACGAUCAGAUACCGUCGUAGUCUUAACCAUAAACUAUGCCGACUAGGGAUCGGAUGAUGUUAAUUUUUUAAUGACUCAUUCGGCGCCUUACGGG